AUUGAACGCUGGCGGCAGGCCUAACACAUGCAAGUCGAACGAGACGCGGACUGGUGUGCAAUGUCUUGGAAACUGCCUGACGGAGGGGGAUAACUACUGGAAACGGUAGCAAACACCGCUUACCAUCAUUUGUGUCUUGAUGGGAUUAGCUAUUAGGUGGGGUAACGGCUCACCUAGGCGACGAUCCCUAGCUGGUCUGAGAGGAUGACCAGCCACACUGGGACUGAGACACGGUCCAGACUCCUACGGGAGGCAGCAGUAGGGAAUCUUGCGCAAUGGGCGAAAGCCUGAUGCAGCCAUGCCGCGUGUGUGAAGAAGGCCUUCGGAUUGUAAAGUACUUUGGGCGGGGAGGCGUUACCCACAGAAGAAGCACCGGCUAACUCCGUGCCAGCAGCCGCGGUAAUUC
rnacentral:rRNA from 1 species